UGGGCCUUCAACAGUCGGGGCGA
rnacentral:piRNA from 1 species